rnacentral:rRNA from 1 species
GCAGUCGAGCGGUAGCACAGAGAGCUUGCUCUCGGGUGACGAGCGGCGGACGGGUGAGUAAUGUCUGGGAAACUGCCUGAUGGAGGGGGAUAACUACUGGAAACGGUAGCUAAUACCGCAUAAUGUCGCAAGACCAAAGUGGGGGACCUUCGGGCCUCAUGCCAUCAGAUGUGCCCAGAUGGGAUUAGCUAGUAGGUGGGGUAACGGCUCACCUAGGCGACGAUCCCUAGCUGGUCUGAGAGGAUGACCAGCCACACUGGAACUGAGACACGGUCCAGACUCCUACGGGAGGCAGCAGUGGGGAAUAUUGCACAAUGGGCGCAAGCCUGAUGCAGCCAUGCCGCGUGUGUGAAGAAGGCCUUCGGGUUGUAAAGCACUUUCAGCGGGGAGGAAGGCGAUAAGGUUAAUAACCUUGUCGAUUGACGUUACCCGCAGAAGAAGCACCGGCUAACUCCGUGCCAGCAGCCGCGGUAAUACGGAGGGUGCAAGCGUUAAUCGGAAUUACUGGGCGUAAAGCGCACGCAGGCGGUCUGUCAAGUCGGAUGUGAAAUCCCCGGGCUCAACCUGGGAACUGCAUUCGAAACUGGCAGGCUAGAGUCUUGUAGAGGGGGGUAGAAUUCCAGGUGUAGCGGUGAAAUGCGUAGAGAUCUGGAGGAAUACCGGUGGCGAAGGCGGCCCCCUGGACAAAGACUGACGCUCAGGUGCGAAAGCGUGGGGAGCAAACAGGAUUAGAUACCCUGGUAGUCCACGCCGUAAACGAUGUCGAUUUGGAGGUUGUGCCCUUGAGGCGUGGCUUCCGGAGCUAACGCGUUAAAUCGACCGCCUGGGGAGUACGGCCGCAAGGUUAAAACUCAAAUGAAUUGACGGGGGCCCGCACAAGCGGUGGAGCAUGUGGUUUAAUUCGAUGCAACGCGAAGAACCUUACCUGGUCUUGACAUCCACAGAACUUUCCAGAGAUGGAUUGGUGCCUUCGGGAACUGUGAGACAGGUGCUGCAUGGCUGUCGUCAGCUCGUGUUGUGAAAUGUUGGGUUAAGUCCCGCAACGAGCGCAACCCUUAUCCUUUGUUGCCAGCGGUCCGGCCGGGAACUCAAAGGAGACUGCCAGUGAUAAACUGGAGGAAGGUGGGGAUGACGUCAAGUCAUCAUGGCCCUUACGACCAGGGCUACACACGUGCUACAAUGGCAUAUACAAAGAGAAGCGACCUCGCGAGAGCAAGCGGACCUCAUAAAGUAUGUCGUAGUCCGGAUUGGAGUCUGCAACUCGACUCCAUGAAGUCGGAAUCGCUAGUAAUCGUAGAUCAGAAUGCUACGGUGAAUACGUUCCCGGGCCUUGUACACACCGCCCGUCACACCAUGGGAGUGGGUUGCAAAAGAAGUAGGUAGCUUAA